GCCUGCUGAGUGCAGGACUCAGGUCUGAGCCUCACUUCUUUCGGCCAGUAAAGCAGUGUUGUAUCCCAGGUUUGCCAACAGGUUCCAGUUCAGCAGCAUCUCCUGGAUCUCCCAGUCAUGAAUGCUGGGAGCCUCAGUCAGUCUUGCUGCAAGAUGGAGGUGAUGAGGAUUCAGAGAUCUAUGUCAUUCACCAGCUGUAUGCAGGCCAAGCGUGGAUGCCAUAACUGGAAGGAACCACUGCACACACUCGACAGAUUCACCCGCCAAGGGCUGGUCCCGGCUUCACAUAUCAUCCGGGACUCUGAACUCCAAUUUCCGGGAUUGAAUCGGACCGAGGGCCUUCCUCAACCCUGCCAACUGCCUGGACUCCUUCGUACAAACAACACCGGCUUCUAAUUGUAAGUUUCCUCACUCCAGCCAGCUUAUCUGAGCCUUUUUAACCCGGGAUUGACCGGUCCUCCCGGUGUUUCUGGGCUCAGGGAGGGGUACUUCUCCACCCCGUCGCUGGCAUCCAUUAUGGCUUGCAUCCUCUGUUAAGCCCGUGACUGGGACAGUUGGCCUGGCCAGCUCCCACCAUUCCCGCAACUGGGAACCCGGGGUUCCCAGGCUUCUUCCUCUUUCUUUCCGUCUUUUCUUCCUUCCAACCUUUCUUGCAGAUGUAAUUGGCUGAUCCGGUUAGGCCAUUAGCAUCCCACAUGGGUACUCGGACGCCUGGGCACAUGGUUUUGGAUGUUCGAUUUGCAUCUCAUCUAAACGGGGAGCUGUUCCCCAUAGGUUCGAGAUGCCACGAUUUUUUGCUGGUUUUUCACAGGUCUUAACCUGGAAAAGCCAGUCGUACCAGCCUAUGUGGGUUUUUCACAAUUCAACAACCAGGCGGCCCCCGGUUUUAAAAUUCCCGCGGCUUUCCAUUCAAGCCACAACAUGUGGCCACUGCCAUGUUCAUUGGGGUCAGGUGA